GGUACCGUGGCCUAAUGGCAAGGCGUUGCUUUCCGGCGUUCUCUCUUUUGAUUGAAUUAGAAUGGCAAAGACUGUGGGUUCGAGUCCCAUCGGUAUCG
rnacentral:tRNA from 1 species